rnacentral:rRNA from 1 species
AGCGAACGCUGGCGGCGUGCCUAACACAUGCAAGUCGAACGUGAAAAGGGAAACCUGAGUACAGUGGCGUACGGGUGAGUCACGCGUAGGUAAUCUACCCCAGAAUCUGGAAUAACCUGCCGAAAGGCGGGCUAAUACUGGAUAGAGCGAGGGAACUCGUAAGAGAGUUUUUCGGGAAAGGGAGCCCGCAAGGGCCUUCGUUCUGGGAUGAGCCUGCGUCUCAUUAGCUAGUUGGUAAGGUAACGGCUUACCAAGGCGAUGAUGAGUAGCUGGUCUGAGAGGAUGAUCAGCCACACUGGAACUGAAACACGGUCCAGACUCCUACAGGAGGCAGCAGUGGGGAAUCUUGCGCAAUGGACGAAAGUCUGACGCAGCCACGCCGCGUGAGUGAAGAAGGCCUUCGGGUUGUAAAGCUCUGUCGGAUGGGACGAACAUCUUCAUAGUGAAUAGCUAUGAGGACUGACGGUACCAUCAAAGGAAGCACCGGCUAACUCCGUG